GAUGAACGCUGGCGGCGUGCCUAAUACAUGCAAGUCGAGCGAACGGACGAGAAGCUUGCUUCUCUGAUGUUAGCGGCGGACGGGUGAGUAACACGUGGAUAACCUACCUAUAAGACUGGGAUAACUUCGGGAAACCGGCGCUAAUACCGGAUAAUAUUUUGAACCGCAUGGUUCAAAAGUGAAAGACGGUCUUGGUGUCUCUAAUAGAUGGAUCCGCGCUGCAUUAGCUAGUUGGUAAGGUAACGGCUUACCAAGGCAACGAUGCAUAGCCGACCUGAGAGGGGGAUCGGCCACCCUGGAACUGAGACACGGUCCAGACUCCUACGGGAGGCAGCAGUAGGGAAUCUUCCGCAAUGGGCGAAAGCCUGACGGAGCAACGCCGCGUGAGUGAUGAAGGUCUUCGGAUCGUAAAACUCUGUUAUUAGGGAAGAACAUAUGUGUAAGUAACUGUGCACAUCUUGACGGUACCUAAUCAGAAAGCCACGGCUAACUACGUG
rnacentral:rRNA from 1 species